GAGGUAUUAAUAAAACGAUUAUACGACUUUGUCAAAGUUGAAUUAUAGGUGAAAACCCUUUAUACUUCC
rnacentral:tRNA from 1 species